rnacentral:rRNA from 1 species
AGAGUUUGAUCCUGGCUCAGAUUGAACGCUGGCGGCAUGCCUUACACAUGCAAGUCGAACGGCAGCACGGACUUCGGUCUGGUGGCGAGUGGCGAACGGGUGAGUAAAGCAUCGGAACGUACCUUGUCGAGGGGGAUAACGCAGCGAAAGUUGUGCUAAUACCGCAUACGUCCUGAGGGAGAAAGCGGGGGACCGCAAGGCCUCGCGCGAUGAGAGCGGCCGAUGUCAGAUUAGCUAGUUGGUGAGGUAAAGGCUCACCAAGGCGACGAUCUGUAGCGGGUCUGAGAGGAUGAUCCGCCACACUGGGACUGAGACACGGCCCAGACUCCUACGGGAGGCAGCAGUGGGGAAUUUUGGACAAUGGGGGAAACCCUGAUCCAGCCAUGCCGCGUGAGUGAAGAAGGCCUUCGGGUUGUAAAGCUCUUUCGGCCGGGAAAAAAUUGCACGGAUGAACAGUCUGUGUAGAUGAUGGUACCGGACUAAGAAGCACCGGCUAACUACGUGCCAGCAGCCGCGGUAAUACGUAGGGUGCGAGCGUUAAUCGGAAUUACUGGGCGUAAAGCGUGCGCAGGCGGUUUUGUAAGACAGGCGUGAAAUCCCCGGG